rnacentral:rRNA from 1 species
GACCCUGCACAAGCGGUGGAUCAUGUUGUUUAAUUCGAGGAUACGCGAAGAACCUUACCAGGCCUUGACAUCCUCUGCAAAGCUAUAGAGAUAUAGUGGAGGUUAACAGAGAGACAGGUGGUGCACGGUUGUCGUCAGCUCGUGUCGUGAGAUGUUGGGUUAAGUCCCGUAACGAGCGCAACCCUUGUUGCUAGUUGCCAUCAUUAAGUUGGGGACUCUAGCGAGACUGCCAGUGAUAAACUGGAGGAAGGCGGGG